rnacentral:rRNA from 1 species
UACGUAGGAGGCAAGCGUUGUCCGGAAUUAUUGGGCGUAAAGAGCGCGUAGGCGGUUUUCCAAGUCAUAUGUGAAAACUUUAGGCUUAACCUAAAGAUUGCAUGUGAAACUGGAUAACUAGAGUACGGCAGAGGAAAGUGGAAUUCCUGGUGUAGCGGUGAAAUGCGCAGAUAUCAGGAAGAACACCAGUGGCGAAGGCGGCUUUCUAGGCCGUUACUGACGCUGAGGCGCGAAAGCUAGGGGAGCGAACAGGAUUAGAUACCCUGGUAGU